AUCAGCAGCCAUAUCACCCUGCAACUCACAACUGGCAGCCCACUGCAGCUCAGCAGGUGUGAGGCUGGUCAGCACCUGGAUGGGAGACCUCCUGGGAAAAACUGAGGUUGCUGCUG
rnacentral:rRNA from 1 species